rnacentral:rRNA from 1 species
AUGCUGGUCUCUCCCAAAUCGCCGCCACCAACCGCCUCGUCACCCUCCUCCUCCCACCUCGCCGCCGGCCCUCCCCUCCCCUCCUCCCACCUCGUCGCCGGCCCUCCCCUCCCCUCCUCCCACAUCGCAGCUCCGGAGACCCACCCAUCCCUCUCAGCCCAUCUCUCUGUUGACGCAGCUCCUCGUGCGCCACCUGCGGCGGCUGAUUCAAGCGGCGGCCGGCGAAUCCAGCCAUCACGCGAAGCACAACCCGAGGUCCCACCUCACUGCGGUGCCCUCCCAAGCGGCCAGAUCCGGCGCUCGCGACCACCAAAGCCCACCCGCGAGCUUCCCCCGACGGCUAGGGUUUCAGGAGUAGGCUCCAGUGCCGGUGGCCAUGUCGGCCUCUUCUCGCCGGUGAGUGAAUCCGCUUCCCUGGCUUCGUCCUCUCUCUCUCUUCCCCUUUCUCUAACCUCUGUUCUUCUCUUCUCCUGUAGAUGUCUAGGUAUGCACCCCCGAUUCUGUUGCAACUAA